CAUGCCCCUUCCUAAUCGUAAAGUUUCCUGAGGAACAAAGCACAGUAGCAGUUGUCCCCAGCUCUUGGAUGAAUGGUGAAAGACAGUGUUACUGGCCACCACAAAAAGAAGAAAAGAAGGCUGGGUUGUACGUAUGGAAACGAAAGAGCACUACAUGUGGCUGGCAAACUCUUGCAUGCGUGAAGAUCGCCGAAUAUGACACGCACGGUGAGGCAAGACAAAUGUUGCCGCAAGCAGAGAACACGUCUGACCUGAAUGUGGCAGAACAGUAUGGGCGAGGCAAGCGAAAACGUAUUGUAUUGUUAAGCAGUGAAGAAUCCACGCCACCUGUCUCCCCUCAAAGGCGCAGUUCGAACAAUUCAUCCUGCCAGUCACCCUCUGAGCAGGUGCAAUCGUCGCUCUCUCAGCCACCCAGCAGUCUCUCCAGCUCGAAUACAAGUGUCAGCCGGAAUCGUGCAUUGAGCCAGCCAUGUAUUCCAACUCGGAACGAAGACUCCUUAAAUUUUUCAUCAUUGGACAUAGAAUGUAUGCUUACGUUUUUC